UGACGCUCGACAGCAGCGCCGCGCGUGCACAAAAACAGCGCUGCUCCUGAAUUUGACUCUUCUUAUUGAGUCAGUUCAUUUGGUUCAGCUCAGCAAUAAGAGUCGACUCUUUCCCAGUCGUCAGCAGGGGAAGAAGGUGGACUGGGAAACAGAACAUCACUUAGCCCUACUACUUAUCAUGCAAGGAUAUUGAUUUAGUGCCCUGAGCUCCUGUAAAUGGGUGAACAAGAAGCUUAAGGCACCCAACAUCUGAUAUCUUACUCAUGCCAAGGCCAGAGAACAUGUGAGAUGUAAUUGCUUCAAGAAACUGAAGAGAGGAAAGUAGACCAUUUUGGAAAAAUUCUGAAAAAUGAGAAAACUGGAGCAGAAAAUAAAGAAAAUGAAUUAAGAAGUAAUCAGAGUUGAAGGUUACUUAAGUUUUAACUGAGAUUUUCCUUUCCGCCAGCUGAACAAGAUGAUUAAAUUCACUUUCCCUCCACAAAGGAUAUGAAAAUCACAUGUGGACAUUAUCCUUAAAAGAGAAAGGUGAAGAGAAAGGUGGUGAAUUCAGUGGAGACAUCAACCACAGGAGACUAUCAAAGGUGCACAAGAAAGAGUAUACCCUGGAAAGGAUGCCAGUCUAUCACAGUGCACACACACACUCACACACACACACCCAUUCACACAAUAAUGACAAUUUAGGGUGGCCAAUGUGCCUACAGCAGGAGACACAGGGAGAACAUUGAAACUAUGAAAGAUCAAACUUUGAACAUCAAACGAUGAAAAGUUGUAAACUGCGAGAUUUCAUUCAUCAAUGAUAAAAACAGCUUUUAAUGUAUUCUAAGGAAGUUGUCACAUUAUUAGUGUAUUACAAUCACCCAAACACAAUUCCAUUUACCAAAUUUUAGAUAUCUCAUGGUGAUUUUUCUACUUUCACUCUAUAAAAUCAAUAUAUCAGAAGCUUUACACAAAAUGUCUUUCAGAAAUAACAAAAAUAACUUUUGGCACACCAUUCCAUACAUAAAAUACAUUUCCAAAUGAUCACCUACAUUAAACACCAUCACCAAUAACUAUUAGACAUAUAAGCAUAUAAAACAUUUAUUUUGCCCAAAUCAUACAAAAGGUUUAAUCUCUACUUUACAAAAUCCAAGAUUUGAAGUUUAAUAAAAUUUUCCACAAUUCCAUAGCCACUUUCAUUACCACUGAUUUGUUAGAAACAUGCUAUAGGUACCCCAGCACAACUUUUUACAUUUACUGAACAGGCUUUUAAUGAAAGCAAUAGUAAAUAAAGCUGCUGUCAAAUUUGUUAAAUUAUUCCAGCAUGUUGGUCCCCUGAUGAUGUCAAGCUGAGCAAAAGCUGUUUUUUUCUCAGCACCACACUGCAUA